UUGGGGACUAUGAUAUAAGUGAUUAGGAUAUGACAGACUGGUAUCAGAGCUUAGGUUUAAGAUCACUAGGGACUGUAACAUAAGCGAUAUCAAAACUUUGGAUUAUAAUCAUUAGAGUAUGGUAGAAGGAUAUCAAACCUCAAUUAAUGACCGCUAAGGAUGGUGACGUAAAUCGUAUCAGAGUGACAAAUUAUGAUCUUAAUUGAUUGAAGAUUAUUUAGUAAACCUCGAGAAAUUUGAUAAAUUUAAAUCAGAGUGCACAACAAAAGUAUGGUGA
rnacentral:lncRNA from 1 species